AGGAGUUGCUGGGGCGCCGAUCCUUGGGUGCGCGGAUCCUACAGCACCUUGAUCACCACCAGCGGGUUCAGCAGCGGCCUCUCCUCCAGGGCUGCUCUGAGGGCACCUCUCUACGCCGGGCGGAAAAUGGUGUUGCAAUGGGCGGGCGAGCACACUAGCGACUUCCGGUUCAGCACCGUCGACGGCGCGAUGGGCACUGGCGAGCGGGAAGCGAAGAGGCUCCUGAACACCCUACGUCUCCAGCAGGUCAUGUGAAGUUGCACAGAGCGCGGGGUCAAAACUUUUUUUUAUGGUGGUGGUGAUGACUUUUCUUUGGUUGUAGAUUUUUGGGUCGAAGAUAUUAGUAAAGCGUUUUGGUUAAAUUGUGAUUUAUCUUUACUUCUCUAUCUUUAAGUAUCUGCCAUAGAGCAUAGAGCCUAGCUGGAACACGUACUGAAUAGCUUGCAUAUACUAAUAUUACUAAUGACUUAAAUUUCCAAGAUAUGGGCAUUUGGAGGACCACCUGAAUGACACCCAAAAAAUCAACCAGCUUAUUCCGAAAGCUUACCAUUUGAAAUUACACCAGAUUUGAUGCUAUCUGUCCCCAAACACAUACCAUGCAUCAACCAGACAUUUUGGAUGGGGGUCGUGGUCAGACAGACAAAAUUGGUAGUUUCAUGAAAACGGGCUAUGGUACCUCGACCACGUACUAAAUGAAACUAAUUGCAAGAUGUUCAGUACGUGUCUAUGUAUCACACAUUAUCAUCGACAGGCGUUUUGUGUGGUGGGCUACCCCUGCCAGACACCCUAUUAGUACCCCACCCUAAAAUUGGGCUAGGGGAGCUCACAAACAUACCAAGUCAAAUUUUAUGUAGUGGAAUACCCCUGUCAGAUACCCCAGUUAGUACAUGUUUCUGUGGCGUGUCACCCCUGUCAAACAGCAGAUGUACCAAAUAAACAAACUCCAGUAUGUGUAUUAUUCAUGCUUAUUACAAAUAAUCAGUGGCAUACAAUGUAAUGUCUCUUUGGGAAUAAACCUUCACAACAAA